rnacentral:rRNA from 1 species
UACGGAGGGUGCAAGCGUUGUUCGGAAUCACUGGGCGUAAAGGGCGUGUAGGCGGUCCGCUAAGUCUGAUGUGAAAGCCCGGGGCUCACCCCCGGAAGGGCAUUGGAAACUGGCGGACUCGAGUCUCGGAGAGGAAGGUGGAAUUCCUGGUGUAGCGGUGAAAUGCGUAGAUAUCAGGAGGAAUACCGGUGGCGAAGGCAGCUCUCUGGGACGGUACUGGCGCUGAGACGCGAAAGCGUGGGGAGCGAACAGG